GCCCAGACAGCCAGGAUGUUGGCUUAGAAGCAGCCAUCAUUUAAAGAAAGCGUAAUAGCUCACUGGUCGAGUCGGCCUGCGCGGAAGAUGUAACGGGGCUAAACCAUGCACCGAAGCUGCGGCAGCGACACUCAGGUGUUGUUGGGUAGGGGAGCGUUCUGUAAGCCUGCGAAGGUGGCCUGUGAGGGUUGCUGGAGGUAUCAGAAGUGCGAAUGCUGACAUAAGUAACGAUAAAGCGGGUGAAAAGCCCGCUCGCCGGAAGACCAAGGGUUCCUGUCCAACGUUAAUCGGGGCAGGGUGAGUCGACCCCUAAGGCGAGGCCGAAAGGCGUAGUCGAUGGGAAACGGGUUAAUAUUCCCGUACUUGGUGUUACUGCGAAGGGGGGACGGAGAAGGCUAUGUUGGCCGGGCGACGGUUGUCCCGGUUUAAGCGUGUAGGUGUGUGUUCCAGGUAAAUCCGGUUCACUUUAACACUGAGGCGUGAUGACGAGGCACUACGGUGCUGAAGCAACAAAUGCCCUGCUUCCAGGAAAAGCCUCUAAGCAUCAGGUAACAUCAAAUCGUACCCCAAACCGACACAGGUGGUCAGGUAGAGAAUACCAAGGCGCUUGAGAGAACUCGGGUGAAGGAACUAGGCAAAAUGGUGCCGUAACUUCGGGAGAAGGCACGCUGACACGUAGGUGAAGUGAUUUACUCAUGGAGCUGAAGUCAGUCGAAGAUACCAGCUGGCUGCAACUGUUUAUUAAAAACACAGCACUGUGCAAACACGAAAGUGGACGUAUACGGUGUGACGCCUGCCCGGUGCCGGAAGGUUAAUUGAUGGGGUCAGCGCAAGCGAAGCUCCUGAUCGAAGCCCCGGUAAACGGCGGCCGUAACUAUAACGGUCCUAAGGUAGCGAAAUUCCUUGUCGGGUAAGUUCCGACCUGCACGAAUGGCGUAAUGAUGGCCAGGCUGUCUCCACCCGAGACUCAGUGAAAUUGAACUCGCUGUGAAGAUGCAGUGUACCCGCGGCAAGACGGAAAGACCCCGUGAACCUUUACUAUAGCUUGACACUGAACAUUGAGCCUUGAUGUGUAGGAUAGGUGGGAGGCUUUGAAGUGUGGACGCCAGUCUGCAUGGAGCCGGCCUUGAAAUACCACCCUUUAAUGUUUGAUGUUCUAACGUGGACCCGUGAUCCGGGUUGCGGACAGUGUCUGGUGGGUAGUUUGACUGGGGCGGUCUCCUCCUAAAGAGUAACGGAGGAGCACGAAGGUUGGCUAAUCCUGGUCGGACAUCAGGAGGUUAGUGCAAUGGCAUAAGCCAGCUUGACUGCGAGCGUGACGGCGCGAGCAGGUGCGAAAGCAGGUCAUAGUGAUCCGGUGGUUCUGAAUGGAAGGGCCAUCGCUCAACGGAUAAAAGGUACUCCGGGGAUAACAGGCUGAUACCGCCCAAGAGUUCAUAUCGACGGCGGUGUUUGGCACCUCGAUGUCGGCUCAUCACAUCCUGGGGCUGAAGUAGGUCCCAAGGGUAUGGCUGUUCGCCAUUUAAAGUGGUACGCGAGCUGGGUUUAGAACGUCGUGAGACAGUUCGGUCCCUAUCUGCCGUGGGCGCUGGAGAACUGAGGGGGGCUGCUCCUAGUACGAGAGGACCGGAGUGGACGCAUCACUGGUGUUCGGGUUGUCAUGCCAAUGGCACUGCCCGGUAGCUAAAUGCGGAAGAGAUAAGUGCUGAAAG
rnacentral:rRNA from 1 species